rnacentral:rRNA from 1 species
UACGUAGGGUGCAAGCGUUGUCCGGAAUUAUUGGGCGUAAAGAGCUCGUAGGCGGUCUGUCGCGUCGGCUGUGAAAACUCGGGGCUCAACCCCGAGCCUGCAGUCGAUACGGGGCAGACUAGAGUGCUGUAGGGGAGACUGGAAUUCCUGGUGUAGCGGUGAAAUGCGCAGAUAUCAGGAGGAACACCGGUGGCGAAGGCGGGUCUCUGGGCAGUAACUGACGCUGAGGAGCGAAAGCGUGGGGGAGCAAACAGG